rnacentral:lncRNA from 1 species
GCGCAGUGUCCUGGAAGCUUCUGCAGCUCCCCCGAGACGCUCUAGUUGCUACAGUGACCUCUCGGUGGAACCGCGUGUGGACUCUCCGCUGUGAGCUCCGCCCAGAGCCCGUCCCUGACGCCAGAGAUUCGUCAGACGCCCUCGGGUCCAGCGUGGUGCUGGUUGCUAUGGUGAUCGCGGCCACCGGCCCCGCCAGACAAGGUCGCGCAGCUCCUGGAGCCUUUGCAACCCCCGCGGGACACUCUGGAAGGAUGAGGUCCUCGCUGACAUCUUUGGGGCCGCCUGUGAGCCGGGACCGCAUCAUCACCAGCUUCCCUAAGUGGUACACCCCUGACGCCUGCCUGCAGCUCAAGGAGCACUUCCAUGGGCAGGUCAGCACCACCUGCCAGCGCAGGAACACAGGGACUGUGGGGCUCCGACUCUCCAAGGUGGUUGUUGUUGGCGAUCUCUACGUGGGCAAGACCAGCCUCAUCCACAGGUUUUGCAAGAAUGUCUUUGACCGUGACUACAAGGCCACCAUCGGGGUGGACUUUGAAAUCGAGCGCUUCGAGAUCGCUGGGAUUCCCUACAGCCUGCAGAUCUGGGACACCGCAGGGCAGGAGAAGUUCAAGUGCAUCGCAUCUGCCUACUACCGGGGUGCCCAGGUGAUCAUCACAGCCUUCGACCUCACUGACGUGCAGACUCUGGAGCACACCAGGCAGUGGCUGGAGGAUGCACUCAGGGAGAACGAGCCGGGCUCCUGCUUCGUGUUCCUCGUUGGAACGAAGAAGGACCUUCUGUCAGGGGCUGCAUGUAAGCAGGCAGAGGUGGAGGCUGUGCGCCUGGCCAACGAGAUGCAGGCUGAGUACUGGUCGGUGUCAGCGAAGACAGGGGAGAACGUGAAGGCGUUCUUCAGCCGUGUAGCUGCCCUGGCAUUCGAGCAGUCGGUUCUGCAAGACUUGGAGAGGAGGAGCAGCACCCGGGCCCAGGUCGGCGACGGAGACCUCAUCCGAAUGGAGGAGAGUCCACCCGAGACCCAGGAGAGCACGCCGUCCUCCAGCCUGGGUUGCUGUUAGCUGGGGCCUGCAUCAGAAGCCUCUACUCCCUGCACACACAUGGGCAGUGCCUCCCAUGACUGUGGAUGGGGUGACAUGAAGCCAUCCGUAGCUGCCCACCCACCAUGCUGAGCCCCAGAGCUCAGCAACUUCUCUUUAGCAGGUUGGGAGCCAGGAAAGGGUGGCACUGGCUGCCCAGGAGCCCCCCUUCACUGCCCCACUGGUGGGCGCACAGUGGUGACCGUCUGGAAGGCCAGUUCCACCCAGAUAGUCACCAGACAUUCCCCCCUGGCCUCGAGAGGCCUCAGAAGUGCAGACACGAGACACUUGUGUCCCACAGCCUGCAUCUCUCAGUCUUGGCACACAUUAGCUGCCCACACAGGCCCUCUGACCACUUUGCCGGGCUGGCCUCAGGAUCCUUCUCUUCUCAGUGGUCUAGGCAAGUCUUUUCUGUUAUUAGCAGGACUUGCAGUUCUCAGUCCCAGAGCCCCAGGCCUCACUGUCCACUGUCCCUCUGCCACAGACUUGUGGGAUCCCGGGUCAGCCUUGCCCCUCCGGAGGAGGAUGGACAAGAGGGUCUCUCAGGCCCCUUCUGGCCCAGGGGUCAGCUUUGGCUCCUCUUUGAUCCUUGUCCUGUUGGUCAGUGGGUGAGGAUGGGCAGAAAAGGCCAUCAUGCCCCUCUGGCCCACCUGGACAAUGAAUUUCCCCAGCUGCCCCUGGGGUACAGUACUGCUGCAUCCCUUGUGCAUGGCGCUGCCCUGCUGUUACUGGCAGUUGUCACGCAGACACUGUUGGGCUGGUAUCUGUGGUUGCCCCCACCGCCCCUCUCUCUGGUCUCCACAGGAAAGGGCCUGGAGAACAAGAAACUCUGCGUGCCUGCCUCUCAGGACCUUUGUGGUGGCCUCCUUGACUCUUUGGAGGACAUCGGAGGCCCUCCGGAGUCUGGCAAGCUCCUCAUCGACACCUCUCCAUCCUGCACAUCCAGGACAGGCAGGCACAACCCAGGCAUGCCCUCCCUAGUGCCCACUCUCUCUCUGCCCUCAGGUUGCUCUUCUAUGGGGGCUUUAACUACCCGCACCUGCCCCUGGCUGGGUGCCCACUCCUCCCCACCCAUCCCAUCCCACAAGCAGGUGGGCACAUCUGGGCAUAUCCUGCCUGCUUCUCAUAAAUGGCGAGCAUUUUGCCAACAGCUGUUCUGGUCAGUGCCCCGAACAGUACCCCAUACGGUGCUGGGCACACUGUGGGUGCCCGCUGCAUAUUCACUGGCUGGCAGCAAUUGCUAAAUGCUGGUUGGGGAAGGACACAUCUUUUUCUGUUCAGUCUCCCUUCACCACAUUUUAGCUGUUGUUUACAGAUAAAAACAAAAAACAAAACAAAACAAAAAAAAAAA